AGAGAUGGGGAAGAUUGAGUCAGGAGAGAUUGGAGAGGUAGAUCCUCGGCUCGAUAGUGGCAACAGCCUGGCUCUAAUUAGAUAUGCCAGGCGGGCUGUGAGCAGUCACUCUGCUCAGCACGCCGACAGAGGAGGACACAGCAAACCUAUCGGCUCAUCUGGCCGUCCAGCGUCUUCCUCUUGGGCAUCCGCAAGGUGCACCUCAGCCAACCCUCACCUCAGCUGGGAACUGAGGAGGAGGAGGAGGAGGAGGAGGAGGAAGGAGAAGGAGGAGGAGGAGGAGGAGAGGAAACAUCCCACUGGGAUCAUUGUGCUGGAGGAUUACCAUCGAAACGGGAAGAUUUCAUCUGAGUUGUUUCCUCUUUCUGGUCCUCUGAGGCUCGCCUGCCGGGGUGACACCUGGAAAAGGCUCCAUUCCUGGACCAUCACAGACGUUCUCCUGAUGCACAGCCAAUGUUCUCAUGCCUGGAUUCUACUGCAGAAACUGGAUGUGGGAUCUGGCAUUGCUUUUACAACACAUCCAAAAAGCUGAACCACUGCUGUGAAAUGUGUGAAUGCAAACGACGGACACGUCCAUGCAAUCUUUUUCAAAGAUUACUCAUUCCUGCCUCUGCUGCACAUCCUCCAUCCCCUGGAAGGGCGAGCGGAGAGGAGAGCGCCGAGCUCCAGAGCAGACAGCGGGGCAGCGCCGGGCGGCACGCCGGCCGCAGCGCACCAGCGGCCGGGUGGAAAGCGCGCGGACUACCGCCGGUCCCGGAGCCCCGUGGAUGGAGCCGAUGA
rnacentral:lncRNA from 1 species